rnacentral:ncRNA from 1 species
GCAGAGUAGAUUUUUGUGCGUUAAGUGCCGCCUGAACGGGGGAGUUGUCAGACGGACGAAAAGGUAAACUUGCGGUACAAAUUUCGCAUCCCGCUGC